UACGUAGGGUGCGAGCGUUAAUCGGAAUUACUGGGCGUAAAGCGUGCGCAGGCGGUUCGUUGUGUCGGCGGUGAAAGCCCCGGGCUUAACCUGGGAAUGGCCGUUGAAACUGGCGAACUGGAGUGUGGCAGAGGGGGGUGGAAUUCCCGGUGUAGCGGUGAAAUGCGUAGAGAUCGGGAGGAACAUCAGUGGCGAAGGCGGCCAUCUGGGACAACACUGACGCUGAAGCACGAAAGCGUGGGGAGCAAACAGG
rnacentral:rRNA from 1 species